rnacentral:tRNA from 1 species
GGGUACGACAGGGUGGCCGUCGUCUGCGGCGCCUGGCACGUGCCGGCGCUGCGCGAGCUCGGCCCCGCCGCGCCCG